GAUGAACGCUGGCGGUAUGCUUAACACAUGCAAGUCGAACGGACUCUUCGGAGUUAGUGGCGGACGGGUGAGUAACGCGUGAGAAUCUGGCUUUGGGUUCGGGACAACCACUGGAAACGGUGGCUAAUACCGGAUGUGCCGAGAGGUAAAAGAGGAAUUGCCUGCAGAUGAGGUCGCGGUUGAUUAGCUAGUUGGUGAGGUAAAGGCCCACCAAGGCAGCGAUCAGUAGCUGGUCUGAGGGGAUGACCAGCCACACCAGGGCUGCGACACCGCCCAGCCCACUCCGACGGGAAGCAGUAGUGGAUAAUCCGCGAUGGGCGACGGCCUGAUGAAGCAGUACCGCCUGGUGGAAGAAGGAUCUUUUGGUGUUGAACUGUUUUCUUACCCAAGAACAUAAUGACGGUACCUAAGGAAUAAGCUCCGGCUAACUCCGUG
rnacentral:rRNA from 1 species